AGGCACGCAUUUCUGCCCGGCUGCGCAGCACGGGCCCGCAGCGCCCUCUCCCGCAGGCCGGCCCAACGCAGCCCGUUCGGUACCGCACGGCCAGACGGCUCCGCUGUGCCACCAAAGCACCAGGGCAUGCACAGCCCGACACCCCACUUGCUUUUGGGGUGCAGUCCCGCUCCCAGAUUCCUGCCUGGUACAGAGCAGCCAAUGUGCGGAGCUGGCAUUUCACGGGGGCUGAUCCCUGCAGCACUCAGGAUUUCUAACAAUAACUUCUCAGCACCUUGAGCCAAGGCCUGUGGCUUUUUGGCAAGCGAAGGCACAAAUCCCUGCCUGCACGCUGCUUUCUAUCAACUGCUGGGCACUCCAGAUAAAGGCAAGCUCUGUUCACAGAGGCUUGCUGGGGGCUUGAGCUUGGCAUCAGAGGACUGUGGACUGCUCCUCACCCGAGGUCUGACUGCACUUUGCAGCGUACUGCACAGCUGAAAUAACUCACCAGUCUGCUCUUGUACCAUCGUCACAGAGCGUUUCUCAAGCCUUACAUACCAGGAGCAUCCCAGCAGCUGGCUCCUGUCACCCCCGUGCCCAGCCUGCCCUGGAAGGAAGAUUUAGGAGAAGAAAUGCAAAAGAUCUCGUACAGAGCCAAAGUGGGUGAAGGUGAGGUGUCCCACUUCCAGGAGACGCAGGAAAGUAUCAGACCUCUUCCUGAAAGCACAAAAAGGCUGGACAUGAAACGCUGCCUGAGAUGUCAGGCCUAGAAGAAGCUAGCCUGGCGCUUCUACGCUAUCAGGAAUGAUGUCUGAGAGAAGUUAGCUUUCCUUCACAAGGAACAACGCUUCCAAGCAGCAAUGGUUUUCUGGCUGGCACAAUAAUAAAAAAAAAAGAA